UUGCCACGGCAGCAGCAGCAGUAGCAGCAACAGCAGCGACGACUGAAGAGCGCCAAGUGCUUGUAGCUGCGCAUGGCAGCCAUUUCAUAGCGCAAAUUAAGCAACGUCGAGGCGAUUGAAUACGUGACCAGCAUAGCUGUCGUUGUAAAAAGUCGAUUUAUUUCUUUAUACGCUCUUCGCUGCUCUCGUUUUUUAGCUCUCUGCGUGCAACCAAGCACCGCGUUCCAUUUGUUCAAAAAUGCCAGCUACCAGUUCGUUUUUUGCCGUUUGUUGCUGUCGCCCAACUUUUGCUGCAGUGCAGUAAAACUAACAAAGCAAAGUGAAAAGCGGUUUAACGUUGUGAAACGAGUUCGUUAUGCCUGCUUUCGUUAUUGCUGCCUUGCCUUAGUGAUCACGCAUUGCAGCGGUGAGUGAGUAAAAUCCCGUAGGCUCUUUUGUUGUGACGUCCAAAGCCAUAUCAACACACCAACAUGAAGCGGAUGUGCAUCUGUGCAAGUGUAGCAAUAUCGGAGCGGAUUGAAAUGUUUCAAGUGCUGCAAAUAAAAGAAUACAACAAAAUUAUCUCAUUUUAGUCAAAGUAAAUGAAAGCAUUAUAUUUAUAUUUAAUUUAAAAAACGUUUUCAAGUUUUUGAAAUUAUGAAUACAUAUAUGUUUGGUUUACA